rnacentral:misc_RNA from 1 species
GAUGAAGAACGUAGCGAAAUGCGAUAAGUAGUGUGAAUUGCAGAAUUCAGUGAAUCAUCGAAUCUUUGAACGCACAUUGCGCCCCCUGGUAUUCCGGGGGGCAUGCAUGUCCGAGCGUCAUUACAACCCUCAAGCUCAGCUUGGUGUUGGGCCCCGCCGCCCCGGCGGGCCCUAAAGUCAGUGGCGGUGCCGUCCGGCUCCGAGCGUAGUAAUUCUUCUCGCUCUGGAGGUCCGGUCGUGUGCUCGCCAGCAACCCCCAAUUUUUUUCAGGUUGACCUCGGAUCAGGUAGGGAUACCCGCUGAACUUAAGCAUAUCAAUAAGCGGAGGA